AGCGAACGCUGGCGGCAGGCUUAACACAUGCAAGUCGAGCGGGCAUCCUUGUGGUGUCAGCGGCAGACGGGUGAGUAACGCGUGGGAACGUGCCCUUCGGUUCGGAAUAACUCUGGGAAACUUGAGCUAAUACCGGAUACGUGCGAGAGCAGAAAGGUUUAUCUGCCGAAGGAUCGGCCCGCGUCUGAUUAGCUAGUUGGUGAGGUUACGGCUCACCAAGGCGACGAUCAGUAGCUGGUCUGAGAGGAUGAUCAGCCACACUGGGACUGAGACACGGCCCAGACUCCUACGGGAGGCAGCAGUGGGGAAUAUUGGACAAUGCGGGCAACCCUGAUCCAGCCAUGCCGCGUGAGUGAUGACGGCCUUAGGGUUGUAAAGCUCUUUUCUCCGGGACGAUAAUGACGGUACCGGAGGAAUAAGCCCCGGCUAACUUCGUG
rnacentral:rRNA from 1 species